rnacentral:rRNA from 1 species
UGGCUCAGAAUGAACGCUGGCGGCGUGCUUACACAUGCAAGUCGCACGAGAACACCUCAGCUUGCUGGGGUAAGUAAAGUGGCGCACGGGUGAGUAACGCGUGGGUAAUCUGCCCUCGAAUCUGGGAUAACCCCGCGAAAGCGGGGCUAAUACCGGAUAAAAUCCGGUUGGCUUCGGUGAACCGGAUCAAAGGUGGUCUCUUUAUAAAAGCUACCGUUUGGAGAUGAGCUCGCGUACCAUUAGCUAGUUGGUGAGGUAAAGGCUCACCAAGGCGACGAUGGUUAGCUGGUCUGAGAGGACGAUCAGCCACACCGGAACUGGAACACGGUCCGGACUCCUACGGGAGGCAGCAGUGAGGAAUUUUGCGCAAUGGGGGAAACCCUGACGCAGCAACGCCGCGUGAGUGAUGAAGGCUUUCGGGUCGUAAAGCUCUGUCAGGUGGGAAGAACCCACCAAGUGUUAAGACCACUUGGUGCUGACGGUACCACCGAAGGAAGCACCGGCUAACUCCGUGCCAGCAGCCGCGGUAAUACGGGGGGUGCGAGCGUUAUUCGGAAUCAUUGGGCGUAAAGGGCGCGCAGGCGGUUUUGUAAGUCAGAUGUGAAAUCCCGGGGCUUAACCCCGGAAGUGCAUAUGAAACUAUGAGACUUGAGUAUGGGAGAGGGAAGCGGAAUUCCUGGUGUAGCGGUGAAAUGCGUAGAUAUCAGGAGGAACACCGGUGGCGAAGGCGGCUUCCUGGACCAAUACUGACGCUGAGGCGCGAAGGCGUGGGGAGCGAACAGGAUUAGAUACCCUGGUAGUCCACGCAGUAAACGUUGAUCACUAGGUGUAGCGGGUAUUGACCCCUGGUGUGCCGGAGUUAACGCAUUAAGUGAUCCGGCUGGGGAGUACGAAUCGGCAGAUUAAGACUCCAAGGAAUUGACGGGGGCCCG